rnacentral:rRNA from 1 species
GAGAGAAAACCUGUCUCCUGAGGCCAGCCAAUGAAAUUGUACUGCCAGUACAAAAACUGGCAUAUGAAAGCAAGACAAAAAGACCCUGUGGAACUUUUAACAAGCUGUUUAUACGCACUAAACAGUAGUUUCAGUUGGGACAACUUUAGAAAAAAUAAACUUCUUAAACCACCAAGACUAACAAGUCUAAGACAAUCAAGAUCCAGUUAUACUGAUUAACGAAACAAGCUACCCCAGGGAUAACAGCGCUACCUUCUCAAAGAGUCCUUAUCAACAAGAAGAUCUACGACCUCGAUGUUGGAUCGGGAUACCCAGACGGUGCAACAGCUGUCAAUGGUUCGUUUGUUCAACGAUUAAAACCCCACGUGA